rnacentral:rRNA from 1 species
UACGAAGGGGGCAAGCGUUGUUCGGAAUUACUGGGCGUAAAGGGCGCGUAGGCGGCUUAUCAAGUCAGGCGUGAAAUUCCCGGGCUCAACCUGGGGGCUGCGCUUGAUACUGAUGAGCUUGAAUGCGGGAGAGGAUAGUGGAAUUCCCAGUGUAGAGGUGAAAUGCGUAGAUAUCUGGAGGAACACCGGUGGCGAAGGCGGCAUCCUGGACCAACACUGACACUGAGGAGCGAAAGCCAGGGGAGCAAACGGG